UACGUAGGGUGCAAGCGUUGUCCGGAAUUAUUGGGCGUAAAGAGCUCGUAGGCGGUCUGUCGCGUCGGAUGUGAAAAUCCAGGGGCUCAACCCUGGACCUGCAUUCGAUACGGGCAGACUAGAGUUCGGCAGGGGAGACUGGAAUUCCUGGUGUAGCGGUGAAAUGCGCAGAUAUCAGGAGGAACACCGGUGGCGAAGGCGGGUCUCGUGGGCCGAAACUGACGCUGAGGAGCGAAAGCGUGGGGAGCGAACAGG
rnacentral:rRNA from 1 species